CACGUAGGCGGAUAUUUAAGUCAGGGGUGAAAUCCCAGAGCUCAACUCUGGAACUGCCUUUGAUACUGGGUAUCUUGAGUAUGGAAGAGGUAAGUGGAAUUCCGAGUGUAGAGGUGAAAUUCGUAGAUAUUCGGAGGAACACUAGUGGCGAAGGCGGCUUACUGGUCCAUUACUGACGCUGAGGUGCGAAAGCGUGGGGAGCAAACA
rnacentral:rRNA from 1 species